GUGGGGAAUAUUGGACAAUGGGCGCAAGCCUGAUCCAGCCAUGCCGCGUGUGUGAAGAAGGCCUUCGGGUUGUAAAGCACUUUUGUCCGGGAAGAAAUCUUCCAGGUUAAUACCCUGGGAGGCUGACGGUACCGGAAGAAUAAGCACCGGCUAACUUCGUGCCAGCAGCCGCGGUAAUACGAAGGGUGCAAGCGUUACUCGGAAUUACUGGGCGUAAAGCGUGCGUAGGUGGUUCGUUAAGUCUGCCGUGAAAGCCCCGGGCUCAACCUGGGAAUGGCGGUGGAUACUGGCGGGCUAGAGUGCGGUAGAGGGUGGUGGAAUUCCCGGUGUAGCAGUGAAAUGCGUAGAGAUCGGGAGGAACAUCUGUGGCGAAGGCGGCCACCUGGACCAGCACUGACACUGAGGCACGAAAGCGUGGGGAGCAAACAGGAUUAGAUACACCGGUAGUCC
rnacentral:rRNA from 1 species